CCUAGAAACAGUUUGUACAGAACAAUACACCGAAUCUGUAUACAAAAUCAGAUCUGAUUGGCAACAGUUGCAGAUGUUUUCAAAAGAUUUUCAUCUGAGAAGGGGCCCAUUUGGGUUAUUUAGAUUCUAAGAACUGAAACUGCUUUGUUAGUUCUGUUUUUCUGGCUUCUGGGAGAGGAGGAGACAUGAAUUCAAUUAGCACCUUGGUAUUUUCUUUAUCCUUCAUUUCAAUAGAGGAGAUGCUUCAUAUGCACAGUGGUGUCAGGUCACAUCAAAAGAAAGAGAAACAGUUUCUUGGUUUUUAAUUUUCAACCAAAAAGGAAAGGCAUCCAUUUUGUUCCGCUCUAAUUAGCCAGUGCAUGACUUAGAGAGCAGGCAGAUGCUUUGAAGGCGUGGUCACACAGGUCUUCAUUAAUCUCCACACAGGACUUGCACUUCUACGAUGCCUAGGCUGAAGGAAAUGGCUCAGGAAGACGAACAAUCUCACAGAGCCCUAACUCACUCAAGCCAGGUGUUCUAAAGAACAAGUCAAGAGGCCUCCUCCGACCAAAGCCUGGGCUCAAUGAACAUUCAGUAAAGGAACACGGAAUGUCAACUGCAGUUGCACUAGAGACAACCUUGAGACACAUUCCUCUUGUGGGAACUGCUAUCCAUUCUUUGCAUGGGAUCUGGAUGGAACUGUUGAUCACAGUGUUUUUACUCCCCAUUUUGCCUCACCAAGAGAAGUCAGCUGUGUUUUCUGCUGAGUCUCCAUAGGAACGUCAGUCCUGAAUCCUCAGACCACCACCUGGAGUAGUAAGUGCUCCUGACCAUCCUAGAAGGCGUCUACUGCUGGAUCUCCAAAGCAUGUGACACACCGUAAGAGAGAAAUGAGAAUGCUGAGCUCUUCAGGUAAAGCCUGCUUUUUCACAAGCCCCCUAAUUUUACAACAUAAUUAUUUUGAAUUCACUGAUAAUUUCUACAAUUUUCCCAUAAGUCAUCUACACACAAUUCCCUCUCAUGCAACACUUGGCUUUGCUAAUACAUAUCUAUUAUGAGAGCUGUGCUUCUUAAGCGUAAAUGUUUUAUAUGCACUAAGGCUCUUGGCUUACAUAUAAAAGGGUAUUGAGCAAUGUGAUACAGGAGUCUUUUCUCCACAGUUCUCAUAUGUAAAGAAUUCAUUAGAUUGGCUGAAAUAGACUGAUCUGUCAAUUUCUGUGCUGACUUAUCAUAAGGAAGUCAUUAGCUAAGGAACAAAAAAUACAAUCUAUGUAAUUAGAAGAACAAGCUGGUUUUGCUCAAUAUAAAAAUAAGAAAAAGAAACCAUGUGAAAGUCAAAGCAUUUGUUUAAUCAGGUUAUUGAGAAUCUAUUAAAAAGUAUUUGGAUUCUUUGUAAUGAGAACUAUCUUGACUCAAGUGGACAGUGGUGAGCUUUUUGGCCUUUGGUGCCUACGUAGAAAAGAGGCUUUGUCAUAAAGUCUUACAUGGCACAGGUGUCAAAUUAAGUGCCUAGGCUUGCUCUUUAAAGCACGCUGGAUUCUGUUUUAGUCUUUCAGUGAACUGAAGGGGAUAAACAAAUCCCUCUGGGAGAAUUUCUCCUCCAUCCUUGGUGAAGUCAUUCUGCUAGAAUUCUAUCUGGUAGUUACCUUUUCCGAUUCAUUAAAUGUUGUCCUAGGGCCCAACAUGGGUAAUUUUUCUCUCAUUUGUGAUUAGUUCCACUACAGGGAAUUAAAUAUUCAACUUCUUGCCUUCUGGGAUAUACUCAGCCUUAUCACAGAGUUCUUCCAGGGAAGGAACUUAGAUUCUUUGAAGAACUUCCCUGCCCUUAGCCAAACUGAUUCAGUUGUUAAUUCUGUCCACCUUGCUCCAUUUUCAGGGCAGGAGAAAAAGCAUCUGUGGCAAGUCUGACCUGACAAAGGCUCGUUAAUGCUCGAUAACUGUGAGGACCUGCUAUAAGUCAUGCCUCUUAAGAAAAAAUACACACAUGCACAUACUCACAACAAUAUUGCAACACAACCGUGAUGGCAGCUUGCAUACUGAACCAGCUGUUUCCCUAAAACAUUUUAUUCGGCAUCCUUUCUAGACAGUGACUGCAAAAGACUUAGGUUGGAAAAGUGCAUUAGGUUUUGAUUAACGAUUGGAUGAGAGCCAGUUAAAUUUUUAAAUCUGAAUGAACUUGCUGACUCAGGAGCCUUAGUAGCAUAAUGGACAGACAGUCCUCAAAGCUUUCAUUAAAGGGUUUCUGGUAACUGAUGUCUAGAGAAAUAAGUUGAAAUACAAUUCACUGAACCACUCAGCUUUCAUCUAAAACAGAAUAUGUAAUCUCAAAGAACUCAACCGGUCUCUUGAAAUAUUCAGGUAAAAUUAAAUUUAAAGAAGCUAGAUCUUAAAUAUUUUGAGGAAAGGAAGUCUCCUGUAGCUUUGUGACUAUAUCACUUUAUCCUUUUGAAUGCCAUAUUUAAUUAUAUUUAUUGCAUUUUAAGUACAGCUGGAGUCACCGAUCUGCUGAUAACAAAGUCUAGAAUGGUUUGUGGGAGGUGCUCAGGAUGUAUCCGAGACUGAUUUGAUUUGCAUUUUAUUUUUAACUUUAGUUCCUCUGAACUCCGCCUUCUCAUAUUUUUGUUGUUGUUGUUGUUGUUGCUUAAUACAGUCAUGUGCCACCUAAUGACAGGGAUAUGUUCUGAGAAAUGCAUUAUUAGGCGAUUUUGCCAUUGUGCAAACAUCACCGUGUACUUACAUAAACCAGGAUGGCAUAGCCUUCUACACACCUCUGCUAUAUGGUAGAGCCUAUUACUUCCAGACUAUAAACCUGUAUAGCAUGUUACUGUACUAACUACUGUAGGCAACUGUAACACUGGUAUUUGUGUAUCCAAACCUAUCUAAAUAUAGAAAAGGUACAAUAAAAAUACAGUAUUAUAAUCCUAUGGGACCACUGCUAUAUAUGCAGUUCCAUCAUUGACUGAAACAUUAUGCGGUGCAUGACUAUAAUAGGAACAAACUGUGCCUUUGCAGAAAUCUCCCCAGAAAGCCUCUGAAACUACCUUGAUCUUAGAGGCAGUUUUAUAAAUCACAGCCAGUGAUUCUCAGCCUUUAGGUUGUGCCUGAGAUGUGUCUGCUGUCCUUCUGCAAUGACCCUAGAGGUAAAGGUGCUCUUUCUUCUGUUUCUCAUGAAAAAAUGUAAACGUUUUAUUUUAGAUUCUUUUCCCAGUCUAGUAAUAUCUUGUUAAAUUUACGAGAUUGUAGCAGUGCCUCCAAAAGGGGAUAACAAUAAUAGUUACUUUGAAAAUGGGUGAGUUCUUUGCAGCCAUCUCUGAGUUGAAUGGUUCUUGUGUAAUCUGUCUUCCCAGUUAGGCUGUGAGCCACCUGAAGGCAGCGAGUGUGUCUUUCACUCUUCCCUGAUCUCCUCAGCCGCUCUUCUGCCCCACAAGUUACCAGGCC
ensembl:lncRNA